rnacentral:rRNA from 1 species
GACGAACGCUGGCGGCGUGCUUAACACAUGCAAGUCGAACGGUGAAGCGCCUUCCUCUUUGGUGGGUGUGGAUGAGUGGCGAACGGGUGAGUAACACGUGAGUAACCUGCCCCCUUCUUCUGGAUAACCGCGUGAAAGUGUGGCUAAUACGGGAUAUUCUGGGUCUGUCGCAUGAUGGGUCUUGGCACGAUAUUGUUUCGGUGGGGGAUGGGAUCGCGGCCUAUCGGUUUGUGGGUGGGGUGAUGGCCUACCAAGGCGGUGACGGGUGGCCGUCCUGAGAGGAUGAACGGUCACGCUGGGGAUGAGAGACGGACCAUCCUACGACAGGAGGCAGUGGUGGAGAAUAUAGCACGAGGGGAGGAAGGCUGAUGCAGCGACGCCGCGGGAGGGAUGGAGUCCUUCGGGUUGUGAACCUCUUUCGCGAGGGAAGCAGGCCUGCCUCGUAUGUGGGUGGGUUGACGGUAGCUAGAGAAGAAGCGCCGGCUAACUACGUG